GACGAACGCUGGCGGCGUGCCUAAUACAUGCAAGUCGAACGCAGUGGGGACGGGUGCGUAACACGUGGGUAACCUCCCAUCAGAGGGGAUAACACUUGGAAACAGGUGCUAAACCGAUACUGAUGGAUGGACCCGCGGUGCAUUAGCUAGUUGGUGGGGUAACGGCCCACCACGGCCAAGAUGCAUAGCCGGCCUGGGAGGGUGGGCGGCCAAACUGGGACUGGAACAAGGCCCAGACUCCUACGGGAGGCAGCAGGAGGGAAACAUCGGAAAUGGGCGAAAGUCUGGCCGAGCAAAGCCGCGGGGGUGAAGAAGGUUUUCUGAUCGGAAAACUAUGUUGUUAAGGGAGCGGUACUUAACCAGAAAGGAACGGCUAACUACGUGCCAGCAGCCGCGGUAAUUC
rnacentral:rRNA from 1 species